rnacentral:tRNA from 1 species
GGAGAGGUGGCCGAGUGGCUGAAGGCGCACGCUUGGAAAGCGUGUAUACUCCAAAAGGGUAUCGAGGGUUCGAAUCCCUCUCUCUCCGCCA